rnacentral:rRNA from 1 species
GACGAACCUUGCAAACGUUAUUCGGAAUUACUGGGCUUAAAGGGUGCGUAGGCGGUGCGGUAAGUUGGGUGUGAAAUCCCUUGGCUUAACCAAGGAAUGGCGCGCAAUACUGCCGUGCUAGAGGGAGACAGAGGUGAGCGGAACUUAGGGUGGAGCGGUGAAAUGCGUUGAUAUCCUAAGGAACACCUGUGGCGAAAGCGGCUCACUGGGUCUCUUCUGACGCUGAUGCACGAAAGCUAGGGGAGCAAACGGG